GGGUGCCCGGUCCCGCCAGACGGCGGCGGGGCAGGUUUUCGCGCUGGUCGGGCCGCCAGCG
rnacentral:ncRNA from 2 species